AUUGAACGCUGGCGGCAUGCUUUACACAUGCAAGUCGAACGGCAGCACGGGGGCAACCCUGGUGGCGAGUGGCGAACGGGUGAGUAAUGCAUCGGAACGUGCCCUGUCGUGGGGGAUAACACAUCGAAAGAUGUGCUAAUACCGCAUACGACCUGAGGGUGAAAGCGGGGGACCGUAAGGCCUCGCGCGAUAGGGGCGGCCGAUGUCUGAUUAGCUAGUUGGUGGGGUAAAGGCCUACCAAGGCGACGAGCAGUAGCUGGUCUGAGAGGACGACCAGCCACACUGGGACUGAGACACGGCCCAGACUCCUACGGGAGGCAGCAGUGGGGAAUUUUGGACAAUGGGGGCAACCCUGAUCCAGCCAUGCCGCGUGCGGGAAGAAGGCCUUCGGGUUGUAAACCGCUUUUGGCAGGAACGAAACGGUGCGGGCGAAUACCCUGUGCUAAUGACGGUACCUGCAGAAUAAGCACCGGCUAACUACGUGCCAGCCGCCGCCGUAACAC
rnacentral:rRNA from 1 species